AGAAAGACAUUCUAUCUUUGUCCAUAGUGCCUGGCACAGAACUCCUGUUGAGGAACCCCUGUUCCCUCAAACCCCUGGAACACCACACAGAGAACUAUCUCCAGGCCUGGACUUCCCCUGACUUGGAGACAGCCUUAUUCUCAGAUCUCUCUCUCUUUUAAAAUGGACUAUCCUCUUUACAACCCAGAGAGCCCCAUCCAAAUAUCACUCAUUGUGGAAGAAAUCUGAUGCCAUGUCUUGAGGACACUCAAGUGGCCUAUGGAGAGGCGAACAUAAAGACAAGAAACCCAAUCUCAAGCACUAUGAGACUCCCUCCUCUCCAUCUCCAAGGGUCAGGCCAUGGUCUUAGUCAUUGCCAAGAGCAUCACAGAAGGCCUCUGCCUCCGGUUCCUACCUGGGCCCUUUCUAUGCUCGUUAACUGAUGCUGCAGCCUGACUUCUUCAAGACUAAGUUGGGCUGUAUGCUUGCAGUCAUGGGAGGAAAACAAAAGAGGGUAUAAACACAAUGCAAUGCCUCGACACAUCACUCCAUCUCAGGGGGUCAGAAAAUAAAUUAAAUGUUAGGAAAAACAGAAAA